rnacentral:rRNA from 1 species
CAGAGGUCUCAAGCGUUGUUCGGAUUCAUUGGGCGUAAAGGGAGUGUAGGUGGCGGGGUUAGUCAGGUGUGAAAUCUCGGGGCUCAACCCCGAAACUGCACUUGAUACUGCCUUGCUAGAGUACUGGAGAGGAGAUUGGAAUUUACGGUGUAGCAGUGAAAUGCGUAGAUAUCGUAAGGAAGACCAGUGGCGAAGGCGAAUCUCUGGACAGUUACUGACACUGAGGCUCGAAGGCCAGGGGAGCAAACGGGAUUAGAUACCCCGGUAGUCCUGGCAGUAAACGGUGCGCGUUUGGUGUGGGAGGAUUCGACCCCUUCUGUGCCGGAGCUAACGCGUUAAACGCGCCGCCUGGGGAGUACGGUCGCAAGAUUA